GGACCUCUGCAUGUCUCCUGUAGGUGUGCAGGCUUAGGCCCCUGGAAGGUGAGGUCUUCCCAGUGGGUGUUGGAGGGAAGCAUAUUCCCCUCUUUCCCCCCUUAGUGCUGAUGUGCUUCUUACCUUGUUAUUAAAUUACUGCAUCUUGAAAUGAUGGACAGCUGGCUUCAGAAAAGGCUCUCAUGAGCAAUGAGGCUGCCUUUCUUGGGAUGAAGGAAAGUAAGGCUGAGUGUGCCUGAGCUGGGUCUAUGAGAGGCAGAAGGAAGGGCGUCUAUCCAAAGGAGUGAAUCUGUGUCAGGAGAGGAGGAGGUAUUACAAAGCAGACAGAAGAGUGUGCCAUUUGCUGGUACAAGCAGUUGUCAGAGGUGCCUUGGGAGGCUGCUGGGUAUGGUCUCUGUCUGGCAGUCUAUGUAUGCAUGAUCAGCCCUGACAAGCACAAAGGGCAGAGAGGAAGUGUGAGCUGAAGCCACUUACAGGAACAGGGAGCACCCAAGCAAACCCUCUCACAUGGUAAGUACAAGGCACCUAGACAGCCAGGUCCCAAAGAAGGAGACAUAGAUCCCAUCCUGUGCAACAUUAUGAUGGGUUCCAGACUCUUCAAUUGCCUGGCCCUUUGUCUCUUGGUGGCAGGUCCAGUGGAUCCUAGAAUUAUCCAGACACCAAAACAUCUGGUGACAGUCAAGGGGAAUGAAAGGACCCUGAAAUGUGAACAGCAUCUAUCUCACAAUGCUAUGUACUGGUAUAGACAAAGUGCUAAGAAGUCCCUACAGCUCAUGUUUUCUUAUAAUUAUCAAAAACUCGUUGAAAACCAAACUAUCUCAACCCGAUUCCAACCUCACAAUCCAGGGAAAUCCGACCUAGACCUUCAGAUCUCAGCCCUGGAGCCUGAUGACUCAGCCACAUAUUUCUGUGCUAGCAGCCAAGACACAGCCCUUCAGAGCUCUUGCUCUCCUGUACACAAACCUCCUCAGUCUAUCCAGGAAACGGUUGCUCUAACAGGUCCACCUGAGCCCAGAGACACAGUCAGUAGUGCACAGGACUCAUGUAGAAACCACAGACCACAACACCACCUGCCAAUUAGAUAUCUUAUUCCCAAAUUCUUUGUCUGCAUAGCAGCAGUCUUUGAAUUGAGUAAGAUGGGGUCUAGAGUUGAAUAUGGGACUGACCAGCUCAACUGA